rnacentral:tRNA from 1 species
GGAGAGGUGGCUGAGUGGUUGAAAGUACCGCACUCGAAAUGCGGCGUGCUCGCAAGGGUACCGUGGGUUCGAAUCCCACCCUCUCCG